UAUUAGGAGGGAAAAUACCACGCACAUCGAACCAUUGAUCGGCAACACAAGAUCCAAUUCCAACGACAUCGACCCCAUUCUGUCUAUGCAUUCAUAUCGAUCGGUUUGAUCAUCGAUCGACAUCGUCGUCACUCCCACUGUGAUCUCCUCCGGCGCCGGCCGAGAAUCGAUCGCAGGUAGGCGGGCACCGGUGCUGAUCGACCAUGGCGCGGUCGAGCGCGGACGACAUGGAGCUGAAGCGGUCGUGCGAGGCCGGCAUCCUGAGCAAGGAGAAGGCCGCGGAGACGGUGGCCAUGUGCAUGCGCGUCGCCAAGGGCCGCGGCGUCUGGGGCAAGGCCGGCAAGCUCGGCUCCCGCCACAUGGCCAAGCCCCGCGUCCUCGCCAUCACCACCAAGGCCAAAGGCCAGCGGACCAAGGCGUUCGUCCGUGUCCUCAAGUACUCCAAUGGCGGAGUCCUCGAGCCGGCCAAGGUGUACAAGCUGAAGCACCUCUCCAAAGUGGAGGUCGUCCAGAACGAUCCCAGCGGCUGCACGUUUCUCCUGGGGUUUGAUAACCUUCGGAGCCAGAGCGUUUCGCCUCCCCAAUGGACGAUGCGCAACAAAGACGACAGGAACCGGCUGCUGAUGUGCAUCCUGAACAUGUGCAAGGAGAUCCUGGGUGAAAUUCCCAAGGUCGUUGGCAUGGACAUCGUCGAGAUGGCUAUGUGGGCAAAGGAGAAUACCCCAGUGAAGGUUACUCAAGUGAGCACAAAAGAUGGACCCAUUGAAUCAGUAGUAGGAGAGGGUGAUUCGCAAGUUGCUGUUGAGAAAGACUUGGUGUCACAGGCAGAAGAAGAGGAUAUUGAGGCUCUCCUUGGCACGUAUGUCAUGGCCAUUGGUGAAGCAGAAGCAUUUUCAGAGCGAAUGAAGCGUGAACUUGUGGCACUUGAAUCUGCAAAUGUUUAUGCACUUAUGGAAACUGAAUCUGUCGUAGAAGAGGUGUUGGAGGGCUUAGAAAUAGCUACUAUAUGUGUUGAAGAUAUGGAUGAAUGGCUUGGUAUUUUCAAUAUAAAGCUUAGGCAUAUGAGAGAGGAUAUACAAUCUAUAGAAUGGCGUAAUAACAGAUUAGAGCUACAAUCUGUGAGUAAUGUGGCAUUGAGUAAUGAACUUGACAAAAUGCUUGUGCUCCUGCAAAUACCACCUGAGUAUGAGGCGUCCUUAACUGGAGGUUCAUUCGAUGAAGGCAAUAUGGUUAAGAACAUUGAAGCUUGUGAGUGGUUGACCAGUGCUAUAAAGAACCUAGAAGCGUCAAAUGUGGAUCCCAUAUAUGUAAAACUGCGCGCUAUAAGGGAGAAACGUGCAGAAUUUGUACUACUUAAAUGCACAUUUGUUCGGAGGGCAUCUGAAUUUUUAAGGAAUUACUUUCCCAGUUUGAUUGAUUUUAUGCUUAAUGACAAAGGCAACUUCUCUCAGAGAGGCCAACUCCAGAGGCCUGACCAUGCUGAUAUGAGGUACAAAUGCAGGACAUAUGCCCGACUUCUACAAUACAUCAAGAGCCUCGACAAGAGUUGUUUGACCCCUUUACGGAAAGCUUACUGCCAUUCUCUUAACUUGCUAAUUCGACGGGAGGCCCGUGAGUUCUCUAAUGAACUCCGUUCUGGUUCAAAGGCAUCAAAAAGCAGCACACCAUUAUUUGAGGGUCCUGCAAGUGCAAACCAGUCAAUAAGUAUUACUGAUACUUCUGCAGACGCGUACUGCAAAAUGAUUACGGUUUUCAUUCCACUGCUUGUUGAUGAGAGCUCAUUCUUUGCACAUUUUAUGUGCUUUGAUGUUUCUGCGCUUGCUCCAUCAGAUGAAUCAGAUAACAACAAUCCUGUUGCUGAGGCAAAAAGUACUUCUCUAAGCACAUUAGAACCUUCUGGAACCGUUGCCAAAGCAAGCAACAGUUCAGCUGAGUUGGGAGUACUAAAUCAAUGCCUUCAAGAGUUGCUUGAUGGUAUUCAGGAGGACUUCUAUGCUAUAGUUGACUGGGCAUUCAAGCUAGAUCCAUUGAGUUGUGUAUCGAUGCAUGGCAUAACAGAUCGCUAUCUUUCGGGUCAGAAGGCAGAGGUUGCAGGAUAUGUGCAUGUUUUGCUUGAUGACUUGGAGACUAGAAUAUCCAUCUUAUUUAGCAGGUUUGUUGAUGAUGCCUGCUACCAGAUUGAGAAAUAUGAGCGGAAUGUGCGGCAAAUUGGAGUUGUACCCUAUAUUCCGAGGUUCUCGCAACUUGCAGCACGCAUGGAGCAGUAUAUCAACGGAUCCAGGGAUCUAGUUGAUCAGGCCUACACAAAAAUUGUGACCAUUAUGUUUGUGACCCUUGAGAAAAUUGCUCAAGUGGAACCUAAAUAUGUUGACAUUGUACUAUUGGAGAAUUAUGCAGCUUUCCAGCACAGUCUGUAUGAUUUAGCAAAUGUUGUACCAACACUUGCUAAAUAUUAUCAUCAAGCUAGUGAAGCUUAUGAACAAGCUUGCUCACGCCACAUCAAUUUAGUCAUAUAUAUUCACUUUGAAAAAUUAUUCCAGUUUGCCCGGCGAAUUGAGGAACUAAUGUACAACAUGAGCCCUGAGGAGAUACCUUUCCAAGUUGGAAUGUCAAAGGUAGACUUCCGUAAGAUGUUGAAGUCCAGCUUAAGUGGUCUUGACAAAACAAUCAAUGCAAUGUACAGAAAACUACAGAAGAAUAUUACAGCAGAAGAAUUACUGCCUUCUCUAUGGGAAAAAUGCAAGAAGGAGUUUCUUGACAAAUACGCAACCUUCCUCAAAUUGAUUUACAAAAUAUAUCCCAGUGAAACAGUGAUUUCAGUGAAUGAAAUGAGAGACACUCUAGCUUCCCUUUAACAACUUUGCACUUGGAGCAUGUCUGCAAGGUUUGAAAGGACAUACAAUUGAAUUAGGUAUAAGGUUGUUUGAUAAAUGUCUCCCUCUAACUAGUUUGUGAAUGAGGUGAAGGGAUGGGCGAGGCUGUAGAGAAAGAGCACAGUAAGGCAAUUAUAUAGGAACAUUAAGUUUCGCUCGCUAGCGAGUUGAAUGCUAAAAUCGUAGAUGCCAGAUAAGUGUAUCUGUGGCAAAUCAUUUUUAUAGAAUUGUGCUAGUGACAAGCAUAUCGCCAGGUUUGAGUUUAUUCAACCAAUAAUGUCAUAUGAUGGCUUUUAGGGCCAAAAUUUUGGAGGAAAUACCAUGAUUUUGCCAUUAGUGAGAGGACAUGAUGUUACUAGACCCCAAUUCUAUGUCAAGGCUAUGCCCUUAUUUUCUUUCAGUA